UACGUAGGGUGCAAGCGUUAAUCGGAAUUACUGGGCGUAAAGAGUGCGUAGGCGGCUAUGUAAGACAGAUGUGAAAUCCCUGGGCUUAACCUAGGAACUGCAUUUGUGACUGUAUGGCUAGAGUGUGGUAGAGGGAGAUGGAAUUCCGCAUGUAGCAGUGAAAUGCGUAGAUAUGCGGAGGAACACCAAUGGCGAAGGCAAUCUCCUGGACCUGCACUGACGCUCAUGCACGAAAGCGUGGGGAGCAAACAGG
rnacentral:rRNA from 1 species